UACGUAGGGUGCAAGCGUUGUCCGGAAUUAUUGGGCGUAAAGAGCUCGUAGGCGGUUUGUUGCGUCGGCUGUGAAAUCCCGAGGCUCAACCUCGGGUCUGCAGUCGAUACGAGCAAACUAGAGUGUUGCAGGGGAGACUGGAAUUCCUGGUGUAGCGGUGAAAUGCGCAGAUAUCAGGAGGAACACCGGUGGCGAAGGCGGCGACCUGGGUCGAGACUGACGCUGAGGCGCGAAAGCGUGGGGAGCAAACAGG
rnacentral:rRNA from 1 species